CUAUGGGUGGCAGCAGUGAGGAAUAUUGCACAAUGGGGGGAACCCUGAUGCAGCAACGCCGCGUGGAGGAUGACGCAUUUCGGUGUGUAAACUCCUUUUAUAUGUCAAGAAAAUGACGGUGGCAUAUGAAUAAGCACCGGCUAACUCCGUGCCAGCAGCCGCGGUAAUACGGAGGGAGCAAGCGUUACUCGGAAUCACUGGGCGUAAAGGACGCGUAGGCGGGUUGGAAAGUCAGGUGUGAAAUCCUACAGCUUAACUGUAGAACUGCACUUGAAACUUCUAAUCUAGAGUAUGGGAGGGGGAGAUGGAAUUAGUGGUGUAGGGGUAAAAUCCGUAGAUAUCACUAGGAAUACCUAAAGCGAAGGCGAUCUCCUGGAACAUUACUGACGCUAAGGCGUGAAAGCGUGGGGAGCAAACAGGAUUAGAUACCCCCGUAGUC
rnacentral:rRNA from 1 species